rnacentral:rRNA from 1 species
GAUGAACGCUGGCGGCGUGCCUAAUACAUGCAAGUCGAGCGAACAGACGAGGAUCUUGCUCCUCUGACGUUAGCGGCGGACGGGUGAGUAACACGUGGAUAACCUACCUAUAAGACUGGGAUCACUUCGGGAAACCGGAGCUAAUACCGGAUAAUAUAUUGAACCGCAUGGUUCAAUAGUGAAAGACGGUUUUGCUGUCACUUAUAGAUGGAUCCGCGCCGCAUUAGCUAGUUGGUAAGGUAACGGCUUACCAAGGCGACGAUGCGUAGCCGACCUGAGAGGGUGAUCGGCCACACUGGAACUGAGACACGGUCCAGACUCCUACGGGAGGCAGCAGUAGGGAAUCUUCGGCAAUGGGCGAAAGCCUGACGGAGCAACGCCGCGUGAGUGAUGAAGGUCUUCGGAUCGUAAAACUCUGUUAUUAGGGAAGAACAAAUGUGUAAGUAACUAUGCACGUCUUGACGGUACCUAAUCAGAAAGCCACGGCUAACUACGUG